AUGCAUGGACAACAAUGCAAAAUCUAUAUUGUGUUGUUACUUCAAAGUCAGUUUAGACAACUAAAGACGACAUUUUGUUUGAGGAAUUAAAUACGGGCAUUCAGUAGCAUUCUGCCUCUGAAAUUUUAGGAAAAAUUGCUUUAUUAAAUGACAAUGAAGGUGAUAUUGUUCAACAUCCAGCGACGUCAAGUCAAAGAACAAACUGAAAGAUUGUAUCGACUUAAAUGGUACGAGAUGGUUAAUAAAAUUUAGAAUCAUUGCAAAAAUCUAUCAUCGGUUAUAAGCGAAAAGCUGACAGACAAGCCCCUUGAAAAUAACUGCACUAUGUCUCACAAAUUUCUCCCAUCGUCGACCCAAACAAGAUGAAGGAUGCCGGUUACUUAUGCGGAAGGUUUUGUCAACAACAUCACGACAAAGAAGACUUUCAAGGUUGUUAAACAACGUCAACUUUUCGUUAGUUGUCCAUAUCAUGUCUAAAGCAGUUUUUUUCCGAAAGUUUUAGACAUAGAAGACUCCCGAACCUCCGUAUUCAAAAGCACUGGUGUCUUCAAGAGUCUUUAUUGACUCGAAAAGGCGACAAAAUACGGCAUAUCACCGACUUUAGCUUUGUUUGUGCCACAUAAAAAUGUAUUGUGGCUGCUGAUUAUGCGCCACAACAAGAUUACUUAGUCACGUGAGCUUCGAGUUAUGCUUCGGAAAUUUUACAACUGGUCAAGGAAAAAUUUCACAACUGUUAUGGCAUUUUUAUUCUCCGUCAAGUAGUUUACGCUGAAUAUAUAACCCAACUUUAGCUCAAUGGCAAAUAAACGAGAAAUUUCUAACAUUCUGUAUGAUACACCAUGUACAAUAAUAAUAAACUUAAAUUAUUAGUGAGAUGAUUUAACGAUGGUGGAGCAAAACGUGAAAGUUAUAAACGACACUCAAAUUAGUAAAUGUAAAUCGUAACUCUCACACCAACCUCUUUUACUGAAGCCAAGUUAGCCACGAAGGUAAAAAUGUACAAAUCAAGUUGAAAGUCUCGUUUGCACGCUUUAAAAAUUGAGAUAGAUCUGAGACAAUAAGAAUCCCUUGCCUCUGUGUUAGUGGUCCUCUUCUUCGGCACGAUCUCACGUUAUGUAAACUUCGCAAACAACAGAGAGGAGUUUUCCCUUAGCGGUCCACUUCUUCGAUACGUUCGCACGUUGUGUGACGUCACCUUGCAGUGUCCAGUCUUUGCUAACGCAGGAAGUACAACAGUUUCCCCCAACCAACCAAUCAAAAUCUCGAGGAAUUAUCAAACCAAGAAAAAUCCUAAAAAGGAGUCGAACGGAUUUCAUCAAACUUUCAUUAACAUCUUGACUUUGGUGAAGAAAACAUCUCUCGAAGGAGGCUCAAAUGUACGAAACGAAAUACAUAUACGAUACGAUACAUCAUUGUUUCAUAAAACUAGCCAUAUUUUCCUUUAUGUUAUUGUUUUCUUCAUUCGCAAUGUCGACAUAAUCAUAAAGUUUUUGUCGUUUUGUGAGCUUUUGUACUUUUUAAUACAGUUAACGUCAUGAUACA